UAAACUCCUCUUGUACUUGCAGAUUCAUGGAUUUCCUAAAAUGUGGGGAAUUUGCCGCUGUAGUCCACUGAACAGGUUUAAUAUACUCUUCGCUUUCCUCAGGAGUAUUGGCACAUACUUAUAACCACAACACUGAGGAGGCAGAAAUAAGCAGAUCCCUGGAGCCUCACUAUCCAGCUGCCCAGCCUACUAGGCAAGUUCAAGCCAGUGAGAGACCCUAUCUCAACAAAAGGAUCCAACCCAAGAUGCAUUUAGUUGCCAUGUUACUUUAGUGUCUUGAAG